UACGUAGGUCCCGAGCGUUGUCCGGAUUUAUUGGGCGUAAAGCGAGCGCAGGUGGCUUAUUAAGUCUGGUGUAAAAGGCAGUGGCUCAACCAUUGUAUGCAUUGGAAACCGGUAGACUUGAGUGCAGGAGAGGAGAGUGGAAUUCCAUGUGUAGCGGUGAAAUGCGUAGAUAUAUGGAGGAACACCGGUGGCGAAAGCGGCUCUCUGGCCUGUAACUGACACUGAGGCUCGAAAGCGUGGGGAGCAAACAGG
rnacentral:rRNA from 1 species